AGAGUUUGAUCAUGGCUCAGAUUGAACGCUGGCGGUAGGCUUAACACAUGCAAGUCGAGCGGAAACGAUGGUAGCUUGCUAUCAGGCGUCGAGCGGCGGACGGGUGAGUAACGCGUAGGAAUCUGCCUAGUAGUGGGGGACAACCUGUGGAAACGCAGGCUAAUACCGCAUAAUCCCUGAGGGGGAAAGGAGGGGAUCUUCGGACCUUUCGCUAUUAGAUGAGCCUGCGUGAGAUUAGCUAGUUGGUGAGGUAAAGGCUCACCAAGGCGACGAUCUCUAGCUGGUCUGAGAGGAUGAUCAGCCACACUGGGACCGAGACACGGCCCAGACUCCUACGGGAGGCAGCAGUGGGGAAUAUUGGACAAUGGGCGCAAGCCUGAUCCAGCCAUACCGCGUGUGUGAAGAAGGCCUUAGGGUUGUAAAGCACUUUCAGAAGGGAGGAAAGGUUGAUGUUUAAUACGCAUUAGCUGUGACGUUACCUUCAGAAGAAGCACCGGCUAACUCUGUGCCAGCAGCCGCGGUAAUACAGAGGGUGCAAGCGUUAAUCGGAAUUACUGGGCGUAAAGCGCGCGUAGGUGGUUUGUUAAGUCGGAUGUGAAAGCCCAGGGCUCAACCUUGGAAUUGCACCCGAUACUGGCAGGCUAGAGUACGAUAGAGGAGUGUGGAAUUUCCUGUGUAGCGGUGAAAUGCGUAGAUAUAGGAAGGAACAUCAGUGGCGAAGGCGACACUCUGGAUUGAUACUGACACUGAGGUGCGAAAGCGUGGGGAGCAAACAGGAUUAGAUACCCUGUAGUCCACGCCGUAAACGAUGUCUACUGGCCGUUGGGUUGUAAUGACUUAGUGGCGAAGCUAACGCGAUAAGUAGACCGCCUGGGGAGUACGGCCGCAAGGUUAAAACUCAAAGGAAUUGACGGG
rnacentral:rRNA from 1 species